GGGAGUCAGACUAUGUGAGAUAAGUUUCAUAGUCGAAAGGGAAACAGCCCAGACCGUCAGCUAAGGUCCCAAAAUAUAGGUUAAGUGGAAAAGGAUGUGGGGUUGCACAGACAGCUAGGAUGUUGGCUUAGAAGCAGCCAUUCAUUCAAAGAGUGCGUAAUAGCUCACUAGUCGAGUGACCCUGCGCCGAAGAUAAACGGGGCUAAAACCUAUUACCGAAGCUACGGAUACUUAAUGUAUGGUAGAGGAGCGUCGUAUACGGGUUGAAGCAGUACUGUAAGGUAUUGUGGACUUUAUACGAGAGAGAAUGUUGGCAUGAGUAGCGCGAGGCAGGUGAGAAUCCUGCCCACCGAAAAUCUAAGGUUUCCUGAGGAAGGUUCGUCCACUCAGGGUUAGUCGGGGCCUAAGCCGAGGGCGAAAGCCAUAGGCGAUGGAUAACAGGUAGAAAUUCCUGUACCACCGAAGGUUGUUUGAAUGAUGUGGGGACACAGGAGGAUAAGCUGAGCACGCCGUUGGUAGAGCGUGUCCAAGCGUCAAGGGAGUAUGAAUAGGCAAAUCCGUUCAUAUAUAUUCUGAGGCGUGAUGGGGUGGUCAAUAGACCGGAAGCAGCUGAUUUCACACUGUCAAGAAAAGCCGCUAAUUAGACCUAAGGUGCCCGUACCGCAAACCGACACAGGUAGAUGAGGAGAGAAUCCUAAGGUGAGCGAGCGAACUAUUGUUAAGGAACUCGGCAAAAUAACCCCGUAACUUCGGGAGAAGGGGUGCCUGCUUCGGCAGGCCGCAGUGAAGAGGUCCAGGCAACUGUUUACCAAAAACACAGGUCUCUGCAAAAGCGAAAGCUGAAGUAUAGGGGCUGACGCCUGCCCGGUGCUGGAAGGUUAAGGGGACGUGUCAUCGCAAGAGAAGCACUGAACUUAAGCCCCAGUAAACGGCGGCCGUAACUAUAACGGUCCUAAGGUAGCGAAAUUCCUUGUCGGGUAAGUUCCGACCCGCACGAAAGGCGUAAUGAUCUGGACACUGUCUCAACAAUAGGCUCGGUGAAAUUGUAGUACCGGUAAAGAUGCCGGUUACCCGCAGCAGGACGGAAAGACCCCGUGGAGCUUUACUGUAGCUUGAUAUUGAGUUUCGGCGUUGCAUGUACAGGAUAGGUGGGAGACUAUGAAGCAAGUACGCCAGUAUUUGCGGAGUCAUCGUUGGGAUACCACCCUUGUAACGCUGGAAUUCUAACCAUGUACCGUGAACCGGUGCUGAGACAGUGUCAGGUGGGCAGUUUGACUGGGGCGGUCGCCUCCUAAAGAGUAACGGAGGCGCCCAAAGGUUCCCUCAGCGCGGACGGAAAUCGCGCGAAGAGUGCAAAGGCAAAAGGGAGCUUGACUGCGAGACAUACAGGUCGAGCAGGGACGAAAGUCGGGCUUAGUGAUCCGGUGGUUCCGAGUGGAAGGGCCAUCGCUCAACGGAUAAAAGCUACCCCGGGGAUAACAGGCUGAUACCCCCCAAGAGUUCACAUCGACGGGGGUGUUUGGCACCUCGAUGUCGGCUCGUCUCAUCCUGGGGCUGAAGUAGGUCCCAAGGGUUGGGCUGUUCGCCCAUUAAAGAGGUACGCGAGCUGGGUUCAGAACGUCGUGAGACAGUUCGGUCCCUAUCCGCUGUGGGCGUUGGAAAUUUGAGUGGAGCUGUCCUUAGUACGAGAGGACCGGGAUGGACAUACCUCUGGUGCACCAGUUGUUCUGCCAAGGGCAUAGCUGGGUAGCCACGUAUGGACGGGAUAAGCGCUGAAAGCAUCUAAGUGCGAAGCCCCCCACAAGAAUAGAUUUCCUCCUUUAAGGUAAGACCCGUGGGAGACUACCACGUGAUAGGUCAGAGGUGUAAGUGCAGUAAUGUAUUAAGCUGACUGAUACUAAUAGGUCGAGCACUUGACCAG
rnacentral:rRNA from 1 species